AUACGUAGGUGGCAAGCGUUGUCCGGAAUUAUUGGGCGUAAAGCGCAUGUAGGCGGUAAUUUAAGUCUGUCGUGAAACUGCGGGGCUCAGCCCCGUAUGGCGAUGGAAACUGGGUUACUUGAGUGCAGGAGAGGAAAGGGGAACUCCCAGUGUAGCGGUGAAAUGCGUAGAUAUUGGGAAGAACACCGGUGGCGAAGGCGCCUUUCUGGGCUGUGUCUGACGCUGAGAUGCGAAAGCCAGGGUAGCGAACGGGAUUAGAUACCCCGGUAGUCCUGGCCGUAAACGAUGGGUACUAGGUGUGGGAGGUAUCGACCCCUUCCGUGCCGGAGUUAACGCAAUAAGUACCCCGCCUGGGGAGUACGGCCGCAAGGCUUAAACUCAAAGGAAUUGACGGGG
rnacentral:rRNA from 1 species